CUCAGUGGUAGAGCGCGCCCCUGAUAAUUGCGUCGUUGUGCCGGGCGAGGUCUCUGGUUCAAGUCCAGGAUGGCCCA
rnacentral:tRNA from 1 species